rnacentral:rRNA from 1 species
UACGUAGGGGGCAAGCGUUGUCCGGAAUCAUUGGGCGUAAAGCGCGUGUAGGCGGCUCGAUAAGUCUGCUGUGAAAGUUCAGGGCUCAACCCUGAAAUGCCGGUGGAAACUGUCGGGCUAGAGUCCGGAAGAGGCGAGUGGAAUUCCUGGUGUAGCGGUGAAAUGCGCAGAUAUCAGGAGGAACACCAAUGGCGAAGGCAGCUCGCUGGGACGGUACUGACGCUGAGACGCGAAAGCGUGGGGAGCAAACAGG